rnacentral:tRNA from 1 species
GGAAGGGUGUCCCGAAUGGUAAGGGGCCGACCUCGAAAGUCGGUGGGGUUUUGCCCUUUGUGGGUUCAAGUCCCACCCCUUCCG